ensembl:snoRNA LOC120098686 small nucleolar RNA SNORA51
GGCCUCCUCAUGCUCACUGAAUGCUGUGUUCUUAUGCUGACAACAUAUAGAAAGGAGGCAGAGCAAACCGACUCUCUGUACAGCUUAACCCAGGCCAUUGUGCCUGAUCUAGAUUGUGAAUGGGGAUACAUGG